rnacentral:lncRNA from 1 species
GAACAACACAACUUUACCAUCGCCUGAGCUCUUGCAAUCAGCGGCGCAUUGCACCAACUUAUCAAAACAAUUGGUAAACACUUGGUUUAACUCUAAAUAAUUCAUUCCAACAAUAACUUCAACUUGUUCCAACAAAAUACAAAUCGUACACAUCAUCAGGAAACACGCCAAGAUACUGAACACAUCACUGGCUCAUCUCUAGCCAAAAAUCACCAUUCCCCUCACAAGGAAGCGACCAACGAGAACACCAGGCCGUAUUCC